GGCUCCCGCUGGGCACUAGGCGGUGCCGGGCCUGACUCAUCCCCAGGGCCUGGCCAAUACAUGGGGCCCCUGCUGGUGCCCUUCCGACCUUCAGUCUUCACUUCGUAUUUCUAUACUUAUGUUUAUUCUAAAAGUAAUGCAAAUUUGGUUACAAAACAUCUGGAAAGAGAGAAGAGAAAACUAGCUGAACACAAGCAAGCUUAGCAUCUUCGGGGAAUUUACUGCUAAUCCCUUACCCUGAUGAGGCACUUUUAUUCAGCUGUAAUUGGUGUGUAGAGUUGGGAAACUUGCUCUUCCAUCAAGCCCCAGACUCCACACAGACUAGACAGGCUGUGCACACUUGAACAGGCUCUAUGCACACCUGCAUAAGGUCUAUGCUCACCUGGAUGGGCUCCAUGCACACCUGGACAGGAUCCAGGUCAUCUGAGCAGGCUCCGUGCACACCUGAAGAGUCUUUACACACAUCUGGAAGGACUCUGGACUGACCUGAAUGGGCUCCAUGCACACCUGAAGAGUCUUUACACACAUCUGGAGGGACUCUGGACUGACCUGAAUGGGCUCCAUGCACACCUGAAGAGUCUUUACACACAUCUGGAAGGACUCUGGACUGACCUGAAUGGGCUCCAUGCACACCUGAAGAGUCUUUACACACAUCUGGAGGGACUCUGGACUGACCUGAAUGGGCUCCAUGCACACCUGGACAGGCUCCACACACACCUGGACAGGAUCCAUGCACACCUGGACAGGAUCCAUGUCACCUGAAGAGUCUUUACACACAUCUGGAAGGACUCUGCACUGGCGUGAACGGGCUCCAUGUACACCUGGAUAGGCUGAUACCCACCUGAACAGGCUCCAUGCAGACCCGAAGUCUUCACACACGCCCGACUGGAUUCCACACACACCUGGACAGUCUCCACACACCUGAACAGGUGCAGACCUGCAGGGGCCCCUCUUGGUGGAUGUGCCACCAUUUACUGAGCUUUCCCUAGGGAGGAGUUUUAACUUGUUCCUCUCCUUUCAUGAGUUUAAAUAACACUGUGAUGAGCUUGACUGGGCCUGAGGUUCUUGGAACGGACUCUGGGGAAGAGAUGGGCUGAGGUUCAUGGAGGUGCUAUUGGGAGCAGCCUCUGAGGGGAGGCCUUGAGCUGACCCAUGUCCAGCAGUGGCUCUGCCCAUCUGUGGGGAGGGCUGCAGCUGGGCUGGCCCUCAGAGUUGUCCUGAAUGGCGGGGUUGGGCCAGACCUCCAUGGAUGGCUACUGAAGCCCGCUGCCCCUGGCAGGUCCAUGACCUCAGGCAGGUGGAGAACAUUCCCAGAAAGUACUGUGAGUGCAGCAGCUGAGGAUCCCGGGGGCGGGCAGGGGUGGCUUCACAGAGCACCAUACAACUCCAGUUUGGAUUUUCUUUACAACAGACCCUUUAAGGGUGGUGGUUACCAGAGCAGGACUUGGGGGCAGCUGCUUAAGUCUGACUCCCGCACUGCUGCUGUGUGACCUUGGGCAAAUCUCCUCACCUCUCUGGGUUCCAGUCUUCCUUGUCAAGUGGAAUAAGAUCUUUACUAGCAAAGCAAUCAGGUAUUGCUCAUAGAAGCAGUGGGGCAGCCUGGUACCCAGAUCUGAGAGUGGCUGCCCUGGCCUGGCUCCUCCUGCAGCCUGCCCAGUGCUCAGGGCUCCUCAGGGGCCAGCGAGGACCGUCUUUGCCCACUGGGAGGAGAGCUGGCCAUCACAGUGGCACAAAACCAUCAGGAACAGGUGACUCAGCUGCCAGCAUGGGAGGCCUUUCCAGGGGCUAGGGCCGCAGUAGGUGGGGCUGGUAACGGCUCACAGAGGCCGUCACCCCCAUUAUCUAUGUCCAGCCACUAGCACUGGGUGAAACGUGCCACCUCCCCAACCCUAAAAAGACACAUCCGCCUGGAACCUGUGAAUGGGGCCAUAUUGGAAGGGGCUUUGUGCCUGGAACCUAUGAAUGGGCUGUAUUGGAAAGAGCUUUGCACCUGGAACCUAUGAAUGGGGCUGUAUUGGAAAGGGCUUUGCAGCUGGAACCUAUGAAUGGGGCCGUAUUGGAAAGAGCUUUGCACCUGGAACCUAUGAAUGGGGCUGUAUUGGAAAGGGCUUUGCAGCUGGAACCUAUGAAUGGGGCCGUAUUGGAAAGAGCUUUGCACCUGGAACCUAUGAAUGGGGCCGUAUUGGAAAGGGCUUUGCGGCUGGAACCUAUGAAUGGGGCCGUAUUGGAAAGGGCUUUGCGGCUGGAACCUAUGAAUGGGGCCGUAUUGGAAAGGGCUUUGCGGCUGGAACCUGUGAAUGGGGCCGUAUUGGAAAGGGCUUUGCGGCUGGAACCUGUGAAUGGGGCCGUACUGGAAAGGGCUUUGCGGCUGGAACCUGUGAAUGGGGCCGUACUGGAAAGGGCUUUGCGGCUGGAACCUGUGAAUGGGGCCGUACUGGAAAGGGCUUUGCGGCUGGAACCUGUGAAUGGGGCCGUACUGGAAAGGGCUUUGCGGCUGGAACCUGUGAAUGGGGCCGUACUGGAAAGGGCUUUGCGGCUGGAACCUGUGAAUGGGGCCGUACUGGAAAGGGCUUUGCGGCUGGAACCUGUGAAUGGGGCCGUACUGGAAAGGGCUUUGCGGCUGGAACCUGUGAAUGGGGCCGUACUGGAAAGGGCUUUGCGGCUGGAACCUGUGAAUGGGGCCGUACUGGAAAGGGCUUUGCGGCUGGAACCUGUGAAUGGGGCCGUACUGGAAAGGGCUUUGCGGCUGGAACCUGUGAAUGGGGCCGUAUUGGAAAGGGCUUUGCGGCUGGAACCUGUGAAUGGGGCCGUACUGGAAAGGGCUUUGCGGCUGGAACCUGUGAAUGGGGCCGUACUGGAAAGGGCUUUGCGGCUGUAAUCAGGUGAAGGCUCUCAGGAUAAGCUCGUCCUGGGUUACCUGGCCAGUGCCCCUGGAGAGGGCCCUGUGAAGACAAAGGCAGAUGGGAGGGAGGCACACAAACCAGGGGUGCAUGGCCGCCAUCAGAAGGAAAGAGGCAGGAAGGACCGUCCCCUGAAGCCUUGGGAAGGAGCCCUGCCCACACCUGGGUUUCAGACAUCUGGCCUCUGGCACUCCUGGGGAGCGAAUGUGCCUUCCUGCCUGUUGAGAGUGUGACUUUCGGCCCCGACGUUCCCCAGACAUGACUGAGUCAGCUGUUCACACUAGGAAGCAUGAUGAUAACCCAAGCGAGCAGCUCAGGGAUCAGGACCUGAGGUUUUCAGCACAAACGACAAGAGGUUCAAGUAGAAAAGCAGAAGCGGAACAUGCAAUAUGCAGCCCGUGCCUGGCUUCCCUCACUCAGCUUGACGAAAUCACGGAGCAGAUUGUUCUCAAGGAGGCCUCCGUGGUGUUUUCCGGAGCUCCUCUGCCAGGUCUCCCGUCGCGGCAGGGUCCACGUCGCCCCUCCCCUUGGCUCUGGGUUGGCCUUGUCACCAACGUAGGUGAUGGGGCCACAUGGUGCCACCUGCUCCCUCUGCACACCUCUGGGCCCACCAGGUCCUAGUGGGCAGGCAUCUGCUGCGGGGGCUCUGGUGUGGGUGGAAACACUGGGUCCCCCCAGGCUCCUCCUCAUCCCCUGCUCCCAACUUCUUCCUCCGUCCCCCAACAGCCCUCAGAGCUCAAGGGAGGGGGCAUUGACAAAGGGUCUCCACCAGCCUGGUCCUCUUAGCUUUUCUGGUCUAUGAGCUUAGGCAAAAUGGCCAGGCAGGCCCCAGGCCAGCUCAGCCCAGCUUAGCCCAGUCCACUCUAGCUUAGUUCAGCCUAGCCCAGUGCAACCCUGUUCACCUCAGUUCAGCCCAGCCAAGCUCAUCCCAGCCCACCUCAGUCCAGCCCAGCACAGCCCAACCCAGCCCAGGUUAGCCCAGCCAAGCCUAGUUCAACCCAGUUCAGCCCAGCCCAGCCUAGCUCAGCCCAGCCAAGCUCAGCCCAGUUCAGCUCAGCCCAGCUCAGCCCAGCCAAGCUCAGCCCAGCUCAGCCUAGGCCAGUCUAGCUCAGCCCAGCCCAGCUCAGCCCAGCCCAGCUCAGCCUAGUCCAGACUAGCUCAGCCCAGCCCAGCCCAGCUCAGCCUAGCUCAGCCAAGUUCAGCCCAGCUCCUGCCCAUCCCAGCUUAGCCCUGCCCAGUUCAGCCCAGCCCAGCCCAACUCAGCCCAGCCCAGCUCAGCUCAGCUCAGCCCAGCCCAGCCCAGCCCAACUCAGCCCAGCCCAGCCCAGCCCAGCUCAGCCCAGCAUGGCCCAGCCCAGGUUAGCCCAGCCAAGCCUGGUUCAACCCAGUUCAGGCCAGCCCAGCCCAGCUCAGCCCAGCCCAGCCCAGCCCAGCCCUGCCCAGCCCAGCUCAGCCCAGCACAGCCCAGCCCAGCCCAGGCUAGCCCAGGUUAGCCCAGGUUAGCCCAGCCAAGCCUAGUUCAACCCAGUUCAGCCCAGCCCAGCCCAGGUGAGCCCAGCCAAGCCUGGUUCAACCCAGUUCAGCCCAGCCCAGCCUAGCUCAGCCCAGCCCAGUCCAGCCAGCCCAGCUCCAGGUCCAUGACUUCUAAAGCAGGAUGUGCUUUGUGGGUUCAAGCUUGUGGCAUUUGGGGAAUCACAUAUGGGGGCCUCGAGGCAGAGCAGAGAGGACUUGCAGGACUGUGCAGCUGACAGGAUUUGACAUAGAGACAACUGUGGAAACCCGAGUGUGGAAGGCUUGACUCUGGGUCUCAGCAGCCACCUGCUGGGCAGAUUACACCAGCAGCGCCCCACCGUGGGGCCAGGCGCAGGUCACGGCCAGUGCUGGGAUGUCCUGCAAAAAAUCCGGGUUGACCACACACCACCCAGGUCAGCACGUGGUCCCCAUGGUUGCUGGAGGCAGCUCAGGCUCCAGAGCACUGACUAUGUGCAUCGCUCUCGCUCCACGUUCUAAGCCCUGACACCAAUGGUUUGCAACCAGCCACGGUGGGAGUGUGUGCGGAUGCUGCAGACCAGCCCUGCCCCUUCUGAGAGUCCCUUGUUAAGCAAUUACCAGCACAUUGCUGACUGGCCGAGUCACUAACAUACUAGGGUAUUUUGAUGUUCCCCCCAGAGGACUCUCUGCCCCAUUCCUGUCCAUGCUGGGGUACUGGUUGGCACAGGGGAAGGUGGCACCCAGCUGUGGGCUGCAGGUGGUACAGAAGCCUGUGCUCCCCCCGAGGAGCUGGAGUUGGAGCUGGCCACGUGUGGCAUCAUCUGUUGGAAGGCACUGGAGACCUUGACUAGGAGCAGCCCCUGAGUGGCCUGACUGCUGGACCAGCUGCAAGCUGAGUCCUAGCCCUCGAGGAGUGGGGCUCCCACCAUCCAGGACCUGGCGCCCGCAUCUGCAGAGGGCUGGGCUCCAUGCUGGGGCCAGAACACAGGGAGCAUGAAGGACUCAGAGACCCGCCUGCGGCCAUAGCACAGGGCAGCCAGCAGGGGACAGCUGGGCCGAGGGGGUGCCGGACGCAGGUGCCAGCCGCCCAGCAGGGCCCUCUUUCUGUCCUCUAUUCAAGGUGGCAGUCUGAAAGACCCCCCGGCCCAGACAGCCCUCUGUGAUCUGUGAAGUGAGCAGAGCUGCAUGUGCUGCUCAUCCUUCACCCCUUCAUUCAUUCACUUGGAAGCACCCAGUGAGCACUGUGAAGUCGUGGGCGCUGGUCCAGUGGUGACCGAGGGCAGUGGUGGGUGCCGGGUCCAGUGGUGACCGAGGGCAGUGGCGGGUGUCGGGUCCAGUGGUGACCGAGGGCAGUGGUGGGCAACGUGUCCAGUGGUGACCGAGAGCAGUGGUGGGCGACGUGUCCAGUGGUGACCGAGGGCAGUGGUGGGCGACGUGUCCAGUGGCGACCGAGGGCAGUGGUGGGUGCUGGGUCCAGUGGUGACCGAGGGUGUCAGUCCUCAGGGAGUCACAGUUAGCUGUGGGGACACAGUGGUGUAUGCCAGGUCCAGUGGUGACCGAGGGCAGUGGUGGGCGCUGGUCCAGUGGUGACAAAGGGUACUCGUCUUCAGGGACUCACAGCUGGGGGGGCACCAAUGAGCAAAGAAAGAAGAAAGAACAAAAGGAAGAUGGGUGGGUGCAGCACAUGCUGCUGGGGCCAGGAGGAGCCUCACCCUGUUGUUCCAGGCCCGGCACCCCCAGCCUGUUCCGGGAAAACUGUCUGGCAAGGCAGGCCUGACCUUGCCCAGGCCACGCUGGCCCCUCUCCCUCUGAACCUCGUGGCUCAUGGCCCAGGACCCGAUGGCAGCGAGCCCAUGGGGGUGAGCCUGGGAAGGAUGCUCUGUGUGGAUGGGGAGUGGCAGGGGCAGGAUUGUGGUCUGGGCUUAGGAGGGGGAGUCCUGCGUGCCCCGGGGAGGCUGACUUUUCGGCAUUAGAAGGAAAUUUGCCUUGAAAAAGAACCUGGGACAGCGCCUGAAAGACACAACUGGGAGGGUCCGAGGCUGGCCAACCCCAGAACUGAGUUCUUGGCCAGCUGCCCAGGGCACCUGGCUUGGUAGGAGGCUGGAGAGGCACUAGAGCCCGCUGAGGAUGUCCGGCCCUCGCACUCUCCGGCUGCCCUGGGUGCACCCACCCGCCACGUGCAGACUUCUCAGCACCCCUCAAGCCUGCCUGAUUCCCCUGCUGGGAAGAGCACACCAGCACUCCUGACCUGGAGCUGUCCUUCUCAGCACGUGGUCUCAGAGAGCGGGCGGUGGGCGAGACCAUGCGGGGGUCGUUGGGUAUAAAAUGGAUUGAUCUUGAGCUGUGGUUCAUCUCCGUGAGCACCAGAGCAUGGAGCUAAAAGAUGGCUUCAUCUACGGAGGACAAAAUUUACUUUCAAUAUCUCACUUUAUGGGGGAUAUGAACUGUGAGUUGAGGAGCCAAGACCAGCAUGCUAAAAAUCUUCCAAGCUGUUUCAUUUUCUUAUCUCCAAGGAACCGGUGAGAAUAUGUGGGUAAGUAUUGGAAUCUGACACGUACAGCUCACAGGCAGAUGGGGUCCUUCAAGGUGGUUUAGACGCGUCCUCUGGGCUGGCAGCAAAUCACUUCUGGGCUCCACUGUUUGCCACCUUUGCUGUGGAACACAGCAGAACCUGCAGCAUCUGGGCUGGGAUUGGACUUCAGAGGGUGCACAUGCGGUUUUUGUGGGCAGUUUUUCUCAGUGGCCUUUUUAUUGAGGAAUAAUAUACAUACGGAAAGGUUCCCAAAUCAUAGAUGUAUGGCUUGAUGCAUUUUAAAAAGUGGACACACCCUGAAACUUCCAUCCAGACAAAGAGACAUGGUGUUUGCAGCACCCCCUCUCGCAGGCCCCCUUAGAGGGAACCGCUAUUCUGACUUUCAUGACCAUGAAUGAGGUUUGCCUGGGUUUGAACUUUACAUACAUGAAAUCGUAAGCUAUGGACCCUUUAGUGUCUGGCUUCUUUCGCUCAAGUUAGAUUUGUGAGAUUCGUCUAGAUCAUUAUGGGCAGAAAUUCUUUCUUUCUCCAUGGCUGUCUUCGAUGGUCUGAGUACACUUCUUUUUAAACAAAUUUAAUUUAAUUUUAAGUUCCGGUAUCCGUGUGUGGGACGUGCAGGUUUGUUACAUAGGUAAAUGUGUGCCAUGGUGGUUUGCUGCACCCAUCAGCCCAUCACCCAGGUAUUAAGCCCAGCACACAUUCGCUAUUUAUCCUGCUUGAGGGUCUCUCUCUUCUCACGCAUGAACAGCGUUGUUCUUUUGCAUAGUUCAGGGCUGUGGGGCAUAGUGCGGCCCCGCGUUCAUGUGCGCAUCUCGCGGUGAACACAGGCAGGCGUUGGGCAUAAAUCCAACCAUCACACAUGCAUUGCAAAUACCUAUUCACAGUUUCUGGCUUAGUUUUAAUUCUCUUAACAGUGUCCCUUGAUAAACAGGCAUUCUUAACUUUAACAAAGUCCAAAGUUUCCAUCUUUCCAUUAGUCUUCAGAAAAAUGAGUAGCAUUUAACAAUUCUAUUUUCUAUUUGUGUUACUGGUAUAUUGGGAUACAAUGUUUCAUGCUAACCACAUAUCUUGUGUCUUGCUAAAUUCUCAUAUUAACUGUAAUAAUUUAGCCGUAGAUUCUUUUGGAUUUUCUACAUGCACAAUUGUGUUACCUGUAACUAAUUACAGUUUCAUUUCUUUAUUUCCAGUCCCAUACUUUUGCUUUCCUUUCCUACCUUCUCAUCCUGGCCUGGGCCUCCACCACCACAUUUGACAGAAAUGAAAAUAGCAGACUCUUGUCUCAUUCCUGACAUCAGAGGAAAACUUUUGACAUUUUAUCAGGAAGUGUGUUGGCUGUAGGCUUUAGGCUUUUUGAUGAUACUCUGUAUCAUAUUAAGAAAGUUACUUUCUCAGACUUUUACUUUUACUUUUACAGCCUGGGCAACAGAGCAAGACUCCAUCUCACACACAGACACAAAAAGUUAUUUUCUCGGACUUUUUAUCCUGAAGAGUGUUGAAUUUUAUCAAUGCUUUUCCUGAAUUUACUGAGAUUAUUAAAUGGUUUUUCUUUUUUAUUCUUUUAAUGUAGUGCAUUACAUUUGUUGAUUUUCAAAUAUUAAACUAACUCUUUAUUUUUGUAAUGAACCCAAUUUGGUUGUGAUGUUUUACCUACUUUAUAUUUCUGGAUUUAAUUUUCUAAUAUUUUGAUGAGAGUUUUGUGCCUAUGUUCACAAGACAGAUUAACCUAUGAUACUCAUUUUUUAUAGUUUUCUUCUCAAGUUUUAGGAUGAAUUAAUAAUGGUCUCAUAAAAUGAAUUGGGGGGUGUAUUAGUCCAUUUUCACACUGCUGUAAUGAAAUAUCUGAGACUGGGUAAUUUAUAAAGGAAAGAGGUUUGAUUGACUCACAGUUCCACAUGGCUGGGGAGGCCUCUGGAAAUUUAUGAUUGUGGCAGAAGGGGAAGAGGCACAUCUUGCACGGCGGCAGGCGAGAGAGAGCAUGCGAAGGGAGCUAAGGCGGAAGAGUCUCUUACAAAACUAUCAGCUCUCAUGAGAACAACCUCACUAGCAUGAGAACAGCAUGGGGGGAAGCUGCCCCCAUAAUCCAAUCGCCUCCCACCAGGUUCCUCCCUCAACACCUGGGGAUUACAAUUUAAGAUGAGAUUUGGGUGAGGACACAAAGCCAAACCAUAACAAGGGAUAUUUCUUUUUUUCCUGUUUUCUGGAAGAAUUUUAUAAGAUUUGUGUUAGUUCAUCUUUAAAUAUUUGAAAAUAUUUAUCUUAAGUGUUCUGGGCCUACAGUUUUUUUGUGGAAAGGUUUAAAAUUAAUGAUUCAAUUAAUUUAUUUAUUAUGCAUAGGACUACUUACAUACUCUAUUUCUUCUUGUGUCUCUUGUUAUAUUUGUUUUUCUAAGAAUGUGUCCAUUUCAUUUGACUUAUUGAUUUGUUUGGCAGAAAGUCAUUUGCCAUACUUCAUAAUAUUUGUAAUGUCUGUGGGGUCUUUAGUAGUAAUCCCUUCUUAAUCUCUACUAUUGCCAGCAUGUGCCAUAUUAUUUUGUGUGUGUGUGUGUGUGUGUUUUUGAGAUGGAGUUUUGCUCUUGUCACCCAGGCCAGAGUGCAGUGGCAUGAUCUCAGCUCACUGCAAUCUCUGCUUCCCGGGUUCAAGUGAUUCUCCUGCCUCAGCCUCCCAAGUAGCUGGGAUUACGGGCACCAGCCACCACGCCUGGCUAAUUUUUGUAUUUUUAGUAGAGAUGAGGUUUCACCAUGUUGUCCAGGCUGGUCUUGAACUCCUGACCUCAGGUGAUCCACCCACCUCAGCCUCCCAAGUGCUGGGAUUACGGGCAUGAGCCACCAUGCCCGGCCUAUUUUGUGCUAUUUUUUAUUAGUCUUGGGCAGUCAAUAUUAUUAUUCUGUACAAAAACCCACCUUUCUAUUGACAUUUGUUUUAUUAAUUAUGUUCUCCUUUUAUCCCUGUUAGUUCCCUCUUUCUAUUUUCUUUGGGUUUAAUUUGCUCCUCUUUUUCUAAUGCUCCUACAAGGCUGUACUUAGAUUGUUGUUGCAAGUUUUUUCUUUCUAAGCACAAAAUUUCACUCUAAGCACAGUUUGAACUGGAUCCUACAAGUUUGAUAGGUUAUAUUUGUAUUAUCAGUCAAUGUAAAGAUUUUCUAAUUUCCAUUUAUGGUUCAUCUUCGACCCAUGGGUUAUGCAGAGGUAUAUUGUUUAAUUCCUAAACACUUGGAAGACUUUUUAGUUACUUUUAUCAGCAUCCAUUUCCAGCUUAAUUCUACUGUAGUCUGAGAACGUAUUCUGAAUUACUGCAGUCCUUUGAAAUGUAUUGGAACCAGCUCCUUGGCCCAGCACAGUGUCAGUUUUGGUCACCAUGUGGGCUUAAACAGGAGGUCAUGUUAGCAGAGGGACCAGACACACGAGUGUUGUGAGGAGGGUGCAUGCCAGGCCAUGCGCCUGGAGCGUGAGGAGCAGGGAAAGGGCGUGAACGCUGAGGUCAGAACACGUGGGGCGUGAGGAGCAGGGAAAGGGCAUGAACGCUGAGGUCAGAACAUGUGGGGUGUGAGGAGCAGGGAAAGGGCGUGAACGCUGAGGUCAGAACAUGUGGGGCCUUGCGGUCCGUGCUUCGACUUCUACUCUAAGAGGGAUUGGCAUCUGCUGUGGAUGCCAAAUGGAAGACGACAUGAUGUGACUUCAGGUUUACCAAGGCCACCUUGGCUUCUGUGUUGUGGGGGGAGCUUGGGGGCCACGUGACAGAAGGUGGUGGUGAUUCAGGCUGUGGAGAGAGUAGUGGAGACGACAGGCAUGUUCCAAUUCUGGAAACCUUUCAGGGGUGGAGCCAGGAGCAUUUGCUAAGAAAUUAGAAUUGGAGUAAUAAAGAAAUAGAGGAGCCAAAUGAUCUAGAAAUUAUCUAAAUUUGGUUUAAAUAACCACCGAAGCAAUUACCUUUCUUCUUUAAAAAAUUUUAACAUUGUCACCCAAAAUGUAAUUUCUACAACUUCUUCUUUUGGGGAGAAUAGUUUGAAGCAUGUUUUAAACAUUGAGAGAUAAAAUAUAUGAGAUAAAAGUGCCUUAAUCAAAAAUGUGCUGCUUAACAGAAAAUCAUAUGGCGGAUUCUUGUGUGGCCACCACCAGGUCCAGACUCACAGUUUUGACGGCAUCCAGGUGCACCCUCACCUUUUCUUAAUCCCAGAGGGACCCACAUCCUAACUUUUGUAUUAAAAUCAUAAUGAUUAGAAAAUAAGGAAGAAACAAAAUAACCUUUUCAGUAUGAUUUCAUUUAUAUAAAGUGAUUUUUUUGAAUUUAUUGAGAUGUUUGGUGUGAACGACUACAGAGUUAAUUUCUUUUUUAGAGAUGAGGUCUUGCUCUGUCAUCCAGGCUGGAGUGCAGUGGCACAAUCAUAGCUCACCAUAGCCUCAAACUCCAGAGCUUAAGCAAUCCUCCUGCCUUGGCCUCCCAGAGUGAUGGGAUUACAGGUGUGAGCCACUAUGCCUGGCCAAUGGUUAAUUUUUUAAAAGCAUAUGGGUGUUGGAAAAGAAGGUGUAUCCACUGCUUGCCGAGCACAAAGUAUAUUAAACAGUUGAACUAAAUAUAUGACAUCACGAAGUUUUACACAAUUGUAUGCAUAUUUUAA